rnacentral:rRNA from 1 species
GAUGAACGCUAGCUACAGGCUUAACACAUGCAAGUCGAGGGGCAGCAUGGUCUUAGCUUGCUAAGGCCGAUGGCGACCGGCGCACGGGUGAGUAACACGUAUCCAACCUGCCGUCUACUCUUGGACAGCCUUCUGAAAGGAAGAUUAAUACAAGAUGGCAUCAUGAGUCCGCAUGUUCACAUGAUUAAAGGUAUUCCGGUAGACGAUGGGGAUGCGUUCCAUUAGAUAGUAGGCGGGGUAACGGCCCACCUAGUCUUCGAUGGAUAGGGGUUCUGAGAGGAAGGUCCCCCACAUUGGAACUGAGACACGGUCCAAACUCCUACGGGAGGCAGCAGUGAGGAAUAUUGGUCAAUGGGCGAGAGCCUGAACCAGCCAAGUAGCGUGAAGGAUGACUGCCCUAUGGGUUGUAAACUUCUUUUAUAAAGGAAUAAAGUCGGGUAUGCAUACCCGUUUGCAUGUACUUUAUGAAUAAGGAUCGGCUAACUCCGUGCCAGCAGCCGCGGUAAUACGGAGGAUCCGAGCGUUAUCCGGAUUUAUUGGGUUUAAAGGGAGCGUAGAUGGAUGUUUAAGUCAGUUGUGAAAGUUUGCGGCUUAACCGUAAAAUUGCAGUUGAUACUGGAUAUCUUGAGUGUAGUUGAGGCAGGCGGAAUUCGUGGUGUAGCGGUGAAAUGCUUAGAUAUCACGAAGAACUCCGAUUGCGAAGGCAGCCUGCUAAGCUGCAACUGACAUUGAGGCUCAAAAGUGUGGGUAUCAAACCAGG